rnacentral:rRNA from 1 species
UACGUAGGGUGCGAGCGUUAAUCGGAAUUACUGGGCGUAAAGUGUGCGCAGGCGGCUGAGCAAGUCGAGUGUGAAAGCCCCGGGCUUAACUUGGGAAUUGCGCUCGAAACUACUUGGCUGGAGUGUGGCAGAGGAAGGUGGAAUUCCACGUGUAGCGGUGAAAUGCGUAGAGAUGUGGAGGAACACCAAUGGCGAAGGCAGCCUUCUGGGCCAACACUGACGCUCAUGCACGAAAGCGUGGGGAGCAAACAGG